UACGUAGGGCGCAAGCGUUGCUCGGAAUCACUGGGCGUAAAGCGCACGUAGGCGGACUCUUAAGUCGGUGGUGAAAUCCUGGAGCUCAACUCCAGAACUGCCUUCGAUACUGAGAGUCUCAGAGUCCGGGAGAGGUGAGUGGAACUCCGAGUGUAGAGGUGAAAUUCGUAGAUAUUCGGAAGAACACCAGUGGCGAAGGCGGCUCACUGGCCCGGUACUGACGCUGAGGUGCGAAAGCGUGGGGAGCAAACAGG
rnacentral:rRNA from 1 species